AUCACAAGUUCAUGAGAUUCAAUCUUUACGAACAAUUUAUGAAGCACAACACAAGACGUAACUGACCGAGUCUGAUGGAUCGAGCAAACACCCGACAAGCGUAUAACCAACAUGGAUCACAUCCUUAUCCAUCAAUUGACUCGAGAGUACCGAUCCAAAAUAGUGAGAUCAUAAUAGUAUGAAGCUCUAUUAUCAUGACAUGUUAUUCCUCAAUCAGCUCAUUGCAUACAGCGAAUUGCAUAAUGUUUUCUAUUUAUUUAGAGUUAUUUUAAUUUCCAGGAUCCUUUCCACUCUAAAAAGGACAAUCGUAGAAGAAGAUCAAAUCCCUGUCCCACUUGUUAAACGCCAUAUAAUUAGCGGGGAUCUGGCUACUAUCUUGGAACGCCAGGAACGGCUGCGGCUGGCCAUCGAUCCGUACCUCCACCCGUCCCUCGUUGAACACUUCCAGCACAAACAUUAGCGGAUGAAACGGAGACAACAGAUUGGGAGUUUGAACUUCGGCGAGUGGAUAGUUCGUGUAUUGGUUAUCUGCCGUUCGAUACUGUCGCCUUCCAGCACUUUUGGUGUUUCUCCAUCCUCCUAUCGCUGUGCCACGCGCACGCGACACCUUCUCGUAUAUCUGUUAUUUUAUGUACAUUUCCGAAACGAUACGCAAAAAGCAUUCAGUUUGAGAUAGGCUUUAAAUUCGUGGAUAUAAUAAGUAGUAAGUUUUUGCAUUGGCGUUUCUAUUCUUAACUACGGAAAUGGGGGGGGGAAGGGGUGGAAAAAGAAAGACUCGUAUAUACGCGAAAACAAGCACGGCUA